rnacentral:rRNA from 1 species
GGGGUUCCAUUUAAGGGAACUUAGGUGGGGAAGUCUAAACGCAUUAAGUUGACCCGCCUGGGGAGUACCGGCCGCAAGGGUUUGAAAGCUCCAAAGGAAUUGACGGGGGCCCGCACCAAGCCGGUGGAGCAUGUGGUUUAAUUGCGAUGCAAGCGCGAAGAACCUUACCAGCCCUUGACAUCCCUCGGAACUUUGUAGAGAUAGCAUUGGUGCCUUCGGGAAUCGAGUGAUCAGGUGCUGCAUGGCUGUCGUCAGUCUCGUGUCGUGAGAUGUUGGGUUAGUCCCGCAACGAGCGCAACCCUUGUGCCCUAGUUGCCAGCACUUGCGGGUGGGAACUACUAGGGAGAGCUGCCGGUGAUAAACCGGAGGAAGGUGGGGAUGACGUCAAGUCAUCAUGGCCCUUAUGGGCUGGGCUACCAC